GGAGGAGUCGCAUAGUGGACUAGUGCGGUCGUCUUGAAAACGACUAACACCGCAAGGUGUUCGUGAGUUCGAAUCUCACCUCCUCCG
rnacentral:tRNA from 1 species